rnacentral:rRNA from 1 species
UACGGGGGGAGCAAGCGUUGUUCGGAUUUACUGGGCGUAAAGGGCGCGUAGGCGGCCAGCACAAGUCAGUUGUGAAAUCUCCGAGCUUAACUCGGAAAGGUCAACUGAUACUGUGCGGCUAGAGUGCGGAAGGGGCAACUGGAAUUCUUGGUGUAGCGGUGAAAUGCGUAGAUAUCUGGAGGAACACCGGUGGCGAAGGCG